UAUUUUGUAAAUUCGUAGCUU
rnacentral:piRNA from 1 species